GCUGGGCUGGCUCAGUCAGUAGAGCAUGUGACUCUCGAUCUCAGGGUUGUGAGUUCAAGGCCCAUGUUGGGCA
rnacentral:tRNA from 1 species